UACGGGGGGGGGCAAGCGUUGUUCGGAAUUACUGGGCGUAAAGGGCUCGUAGGUGGCCAACUAAGUCGGACGUGAAAUCCCUCGGCUUAACCGGGGAACUGCGUCCGAUACUGGUUGGCUUGAGUUUGGGAGAGGGAUGCGGAAUUCCAGGUGUAGCGGUGAAAUGCGUAGAGAUCAGGAGGAACACCUAUGGCGAAAGCAGGUUACUGGCCCAAUACUGACGCUGAGGCGCGAAAGCUAGGGGAGCAAACAGG
rnacentral:rRNA from 1 species